GAGGAAUAUUGGUCAAUGGACGAGAGUCUGAACCAGCCAAGUAGCGUGAAGGAUGACUGCCCUAUGGGUUGUAAACUUCUUUUAUACGGGAAUAAAGUGAGGCACGUGUGCCUUUUUGUAUGUACCGUAUGAAUAAGCACCGGCUAACUACGUGCCAGCAGCCGCGGUAAUACGUAGGGUGCAAGCGUUAUCCGGAAUUAUUGGGCGUAAAGGGCUCGUAGGCGGUUCGUCGCGUCCGGUGUGAAAGUCCAUCGCUUAACGGUGGAUCCGCGCCGGGUACGGGCGGGCUUGAGUGCGGUAGGGGAGACUGGAAUUCCCGGUGUAACGGUGGAAUGUGUAGAUAUCGGGAAGAACACCAAUGGCGAAGGCAGGUCUCUGGGCCGUUACUGACGCUGAGGAGCGAAAGCGUGGGGAGCGAACAGGAUUAGAUACCCUGGUAGUCCACGCCGUAAACGGUGGAUGCUGGAUGUGGGGCCCGUUCCACGGGUUCCGUGUCGGAGCUAACGCGUUAAGCAUCCCGCCUGGGGAGUACGGCCGCAAGGCUAAAACUCAAAGAAAUUGACGGGGGCCCGCACAAGCGGCGGAGCAUGCGGAUUAAUUCGAUGCAACGCGAAGAACCUUACCUGGGCUUGACAUGUUCCCGACGGUCGUAGAGAUACGGCUUCCCUUCGGGGCGGGUUCACAGGUGGUGCAUGGUCGUCGUCAGCUCGUGUCGUGAGAUGUUGGGUUAAGUCCCGCAACGAGCGCAACCCUCGCCCCGUGUUGCCAGCGGAUUAUGCCGGGAACUCACGGGGGACCGCCGGGGUUAACUCGGAGGAAGGUGGGGAUGACGUCAGAUCAUCAUGCCCCUUACGUCCAGGGCUUCACGCAUGCUACAAUGGCCGGUACAACGGGAUGCGACGCGGCGACGCGGAGCGGAUCCCUGAAAACCGGUCUCAGUUCGGAUCGCAGUCUGCAACUCGACUGCGUGAAGGCGGAGUCGCUAGUAAUCGCGAAUCAGCAACGUCGCGGUGAAUGCGUUCCCG
rnacentral:rRNA from 1 species